GACAGAGGAUGCAAGCGUUAUCCGGAAUGAUUGGGCGUAAGCGUCCGCAGGUGGCUAUGUAAGUCUGCUGUUAAAGAGUGAGGCUCAACCUCAUAAGAGCAGUGGAAACUACAUGGCUAGAGUGCGUUCGGGGCAGAGGGAAUUCCUGGUGUAGCGGUGAAAUGCGUAGAUAUCAGGAAGAACACCGGUGGCGAAAGCGCUCUGCUAGGCCGCAACUGACACUGAGGGACGAAAGCUAGGGGAGCGAAUGGG
rnacentral:rRNA from 1 species